GAUGAACGCUGGCGGCGUGCCUAAUACAUGCAAGUCGAGCGAACGGACAAGAAGCUUGCUUCUCUGAUGUUAGCGGCGGACGGGUGAGUAACACGUGGAUAACCUACCUAUAAGACUGGGAUAACUUCGGGAAACCGGAGCUAAUACCGGAUGAUAUUUUGAACCGCAUGGUUCAAAAGUGAAAGACGGUCUUGCUGUCACUUAUAGAUGGAUCCUCGCUGCAUUAGCUAGUUGGUAAGGUAACGGCUUACCAAGGCAACGAUGCAUAGCCGACCUGAGAGGGUGAUCGGCCACACUGGAACUGAGACACGGUCCAGACUCCUACGGGAGGCAGCAGUAGGGAAUCUUCCGCAAUGGGCGAAAGCCUGACGGAGCAACGCCGCGUGAGUGAUGAAGGUCUUCGGAUCGUAAAACUCUGUUAUUAGGGAAGAACAUAUGUGUAAGUAACUGUGCACAUCUUGACGGUACCUAAUCAGAAAGCCACGGCUAACUACGUG
rnacentral:rRNA from 1 species